AGUGAACGCUGGCGGUAGGCCUAACACAUGCAAGUCGAACGGCAGCACAGUAAGAGCUUGCUCUUACGGGUGGCGAGUGGCGGACGGGUGAGGAAUACAUCGGAAUCUACUUUUUCGUGGGGGAUAACGUAGGGAAACUUACGCUAAUACCGCAUACGACCUACGGGUGAAAGCAGGGGAUCUUCGGACCUUGCGCGAUUGAAUGAGCCGAUGUCGGAUUAGCUAGUUGGCGGGGUAAAGGCCCACCAAGGCGACGAUCCGUAGCUGGUCUGAGAGGAUGGUCAGCCCCACUGGAACUGAGACACGGUCCAGACUCCUACGGGAGGCAGCAGUGGGGAAUAUUGGACAAUGGGCGCAAGCCUGAUCCAGCCAUACCGAGUGGGUGAAGAAGGCCUUCGGGUUGUAAAGCCAUUUUGUUGGGAAAGAAAAGCAGCAGGUUAAUACCCCGCUGUUCUGACGGUACCCAAAGAAUAAGCACCGGCUAACUUCGUG
rnacentral:rRNA from 1 species